rnacentral:tRNA from 1 species
GCGAUUGUAGCUCAGCUGGUUAGAGUGUCUGCCUGUCACGCAGAAUGUCGAGGGUUCGAGUCCCUUCAAUCGCGCCA